rnacentral:tRNA from 1 species
AUCUUUCUAGUAUAAAUUAAAGUAUAAUUGGCUUCCAACCAAUAAGUUUGGAUUUUUCCAGGAAAGAUA